rnacentral:snRNA from 1 species
AUGCUCUGGUUUCUCUUCAGAUCGUAUAAAUCUUUCGCCUUUUACUAAAGAUUUCCGUGGAGAGGAACAAUUGCGAGUUAUCACCCAAUUUUUUUUUAAGGUCUCACCCUGUGAGGCCU